rnacentral:sRNA from 1 species
GGCGUUGGUGGUUUGUUUCUGCGACUUGCGUCGGGACUGGUGAGUGUGGGCAGUGCGGCCCCUGCGGAGUGAGGCGCGGCGCGCCCUUCUUGCCUGUUGCCUCUUCCUCCUCCUGUCCGGGGCCCGCCCGCGCUUGGGUGGGGGUGCUGUGAUGCGUGAGGCAGCCGGGGGAGGCCCAGAGUCCGAGACUGCUUGAGCGCUGCGCACACCCUUCUCGUGGGCCCCCCACGUAGGUGCGGGGACCUGGUUGAACCCCAAGCUGAUAGGAAGAUGUCUUCAGGAAAUGCUAAAAUUGGGCACCCUGCCCCCAACUUCAAAGCCACAGCCGUUAUGCCAGAUGGUCAGUUUAAAGAUAUCAGCCUGUCUGACUACAAAGGAAAAUAUGUUGUGUUCUUCUUUUACCCUCUUGACUUCACCUUUGUGUGCCCCACGGAGAUCAUUGCUUUCAGUGAUAGGGCAGAAGAAUUUAAGAAACUCAACUGCCAAGUGAUUGGUGCUUCUGUGGAUUCUCACUUCUGUCAUCUAGCAUG